GAAAGAGGUUGGAAACCACAGGGACUGCUAACCCUCUGUCACCCCAGUUAAACUCUGGGGCUCCUUCG
rnacentral:tRNA from 1 species